ACUGACUUCCCAGUGAGUGAAGGGCCAUGUCCUGCAUACCCUGGUUUGGGCUGUUUAAUGAGCCCAGGUUGCUGGGAUGAAGUCUAGUGGAAGUUGAUGGACUUAUUUGCUCUUGAGAGCAAUGCAGAAAAUGCCUUGGUGCCUGCUAAAGUUUCCAAGGGACAUGCACACAUUGAAAACAUUUUUCACUCUUUGGGCAGGUGGAUUCCAUUAAUUCUACAAACAACUGAAGGUAAUCUGUUUGCAGAAUCAUUGGUUUAAAAUCAAAUCCACAUUUCUUUGCAUGUGUUGUUUAUGGCCUUCAGAUUAAUAAUAGGAGAUGUGUGUGCAUGUGUGUGCAUGUAAAUGCAUGUGCUUAGAAUAUAUCUUUUACAUGCACACAACAAAGAUAGAAACUGUUACUCAAUUUUAUGAGUAAAUAUGAAAAUAUGAUGAAGAAUGUUUAGAAAAAAAUGUGUGUGUGUAUAUCUAUAUCUAUAUCUAUAUCUAUAUAUUGUCAGGAGGAGGCUCAGACUGUGGUAAAGAGAUUUUGGAUCCCAACAUGUGGGAGAAGAUCUAAAGCACAGUUGGAAUAGUGGACUUGCUUUAUUCAGAGGUGGCAGCAGCUUCUAACCAGACCCCAGCUCCAGCUUUAGCCCCCCACCUGUUCCAUUUAUCCCCCAGCCAGUUCCUAAUUAUUUGCAGCACCCCCCCAGUCUUUUCCAGAGGCCUUUUUUUUACAUGUUAGCUUUACUUUCUUUAUUAAUUAAUUUAUUUUUUUAGUUGUAGUUGGACACAAUACCUUUAUUUAUUUAUUUAUAUGUUGUGCUGAGGAUGGAACCCAGCUCGCACGUGCCAGGCGAGCGCUCUACCUCUGAGCCACAACCCCAGUCCUCCACAGGCCUUUUUUAUAUGCAGACAGACAAAGAAGACACAGUGUCAAUAGGUUAUAUCAGUGGGCACAUGCUCACAAGCAAAUGUUUAUGACCUUAAGGUAGAUAUGUUAAAUCAGAGUGUUUAUGACCUUGACUACACACUAAAAACAUAGUCCACUGGAAGUUUUGGUGAGGGAGCCUAACUACAGCCAUUUGGGGCCUGCCCUACAGUUGUCAAAUACAAAGUUUAGUAACAGGAAACUAAGACUCGUGAUUUUAUAAUUUUUUAGCUCUAAUGACAGUCUCUCAGAGAGUCAAGGGAUGUUUGACUCAGACCAGCUUUGUGCACUCUGUGGCAAAGUGGACCUGUAAGCUUUGAGUUAGAGAAACCAAUGAAGAAGAUAGGACUCAAAGGCUCCAUGCAAUGAUUUGAAUGUUUGUUCUCCAAAUUCAUGGGUUGGAGAUCUCCUCUCCAAUGUAACCCUGUUGAGAGGUGAUGGGACCUUCAUGAGACAAUGAGGUUGCGGUGCACCAUCCUCAUUAAGGAAUUAAUGAAGUUCUUGUGAGAGUAGGUGAGUUAUGUCAAGAAUGGGUUAUUGGGGCUGGGGUUGUAGCUCAGUGGUUGAGUGCUUGCCUCACGUGAGUGAGGCACUGGGUUUGAUUCUCAGUGCCGCAUAAAAUAAAUAUUUAUUUUUAAAAAGAAUGGGUUGUUGUAAAGAGAGUUCAGCUUCCUUGGUUGACUCUCUUGCCUUGUGAUCUCUCCCUUCAUAAAAUGUCCACUUGCUUUCUGAUUUUCCACCAUGCCUGGACCAGCACAUGGCUUCACCAAAAGCCAAACAGAUACCAGUGCUAUGCACUUAGACUUCCAGAGCUGUGAGCUAAAAUAAACCUCUUUCCUUUAUAAAUGGCCCAACCUUAGGUAUAUUGUUGUAGCAAUAGAAAAUGGACUAAGGUACCCACCAGCAUACAGGUGGCUCCUCUGAGCUUCCUUCCUUCCCUCUUGUGACCAAGGGUAGGGGACAGGGAAACUAGAGUGAUCCCUUUUCUCACCGAGUAUUUCUGAAAGUGGACUGGGGGUAUUAAUACAGAGUUUGGUGGGGUUAAAUGCAUGUAAGCAGGUCAAGUGAGACCUACCAAAUGUUUUACUCAGGAUCUUGGUAUGAAAGUCUCUUGGGAUUUUCACUCAGAGCCCUGAGUUCUAGCUCCCAUUUGUAUUAGAUCAGGGUCACCCGGGGAGACUUUAAGACAUAGCAAUGCCCAGGCUGGCUCUUUUUCCCCAGAAAGUCCCAUUUAACUAGUCUAUUGGCCCCUAAACUUCCCAGGUGAUUCUUAUGUGCAUUCUGGGCUGAGAAUCACUGCUUUGAAAAGAUUUCAAGGGCUGAUUCAGCCAAUUCCUCCAUGUUUUGAGCCCUAUGUGGUGGUAACCAUGAAAUUAGGUCCUCUUCUCCAACUCUUUAAAAAGAAUAUAUCUAUUUAUUUGAAAACCUCUAUGUGAUCUCCUUUUAUUUAUAGAAACUAAUUUAUAGCUCCAUUUUUCUUCCCCUGGAAGGUCCUGUACUUUCUUCCUUGUGGUUGAGUUGUAACAUUUGCAGCUGGUACAGCCCUGAAUGCACAUGGAAUUAUUUAGUGGUUUUUUUUUUUCUGAUUUUCUUUUCUGCUUUGGACUCAGAUUUAUUUGCUUGAUUGUUUUCAUAUGGGUGAUGACAUCAUUUGUUUUUGUUUUUAUUUCUAUUUCUGAGGGUGAAGGUAUUUGCUCCUAAUGCUGAGCAGAUGCACAUCAUUAAUCACUUGAAAGAGAGCCCAGCAGAAGAGAAGAGAAAUGUGGGUGAGAAAAGUGCCAGGAGAGUCCAUGGGACCUUCAAGAUUUGGCAGACAUGAACUUCAGUGAGCUCGAUGCUGUCAUUUUACCGGUGGUCUUGCAGUGACCCCAGGUGCCCUGGAAGGGAAGGACUGCCUUGUCAACAGUUCUGUGAAGGACCCUUCCUGCUCUGCCCUCUGCUGGAAGGCCCAGCGGCUGCUGCUGUGUUUCCCCUGGGAUGACAGCCAAAGCCUUCCUGCUUGUGGAUUCUAGUACAUCAGGGUGACAAUCCAAAGGGACAAAGAGGAAGCAGAAGAUGGAAAGUUCCCGGCCAGGUUUGCUGCUGAUGACAGCGAUGCUGCAGCACAGAAUCCUAGACGUAACAUGGAUGGUUGGAGAAGAGAGGAUAAGUGAAGCAAUUUCUGAGUGAUUAAACAACAACAACCCCUCAAACUGCACUAUUUCAGGUGAAUGUCGUGGUGAGAAGGGACUGCACGCACACAUACAUACCUGCACGCACACAUACAUACCUGAACGUGACCGCAGAGCUCUGCUGGAGAGAAAAAUGGUGCAUCUUGUUGAGACUUUUGUCCCUCUUGGGUUCCCUCUAGCUUCACUUUGUGCAGGCAGGUCCCCCUAGCAUUGACAAGGAUGCUAUAAUAGUGCCACAUGUCCUUUGUAGUCCCAGGAAGCUAUUUAAAUACAUGAAGGGAAGGGUCACAUGCUUUGGAUUCUCCUGGUCCCUGAACCCAACUCAGCUUCUAGAAGCUGCCCUUCCUACCAUGGCAGAGAUGCAGGAAUCAUGGCACGGAAGACUUUCCUCUUUACUUAUUGUCUGUCUAUUCCACACUAGACUGUAAAUUCACAGGAGCAGGAGGUUUUGCCUGUUUUGUUCAUUGCUCCAUCGCCCCACCAAGCACAUCCCCUGGUGCAUAUGAAGCCCUCAGCACAAUGAUUUGAACUGAAUGAAUGCCUAGCAUCCCCUGCAGUUUCUCUACACAGGCUUAAAAUGGUCCCUGGGGCUUAUCAUAGAGCACUUAUCUGACUGUGAUCUCUCUCUCUCUCUCUCUCUCUCUCUCUCUCUCU